AGUCGAGCGAGAAGGGUCCUUCGGGACCCCGGUAAAGCGGCGAACGGGUGAGUAACACGUGGGCAACCUGCCCCAAGGACUGGGAUAACUCCGGGAAACCGGAGCUAAUACCGGACGUGCUUGCACCACUCAAGUGGUUCAAGUAAAGGUAGCUUCGGCUUCUGCCUUGGGAUGGGCCCGCGGCCUAUCAGCUUGUUGGUGAGGUAAUGGCUCACCAAGGCGACGACGGGUAGCUGGUCUGAGAGGACGAUCAGCCACACUGGGACUGAGACACGGCCCAGACUCCUACGGGAGGCAGCAGUGGGGAAUCUUGCGCAAUGGGCGAAAGCCUGACGCAGCAACGCCGCGUGGAGGAAGAAGGCCUUAGGGUUGUAAACUCCUGUCAGGGGGGAAGAAGGCACCUGGGUUAAUAGCCCAAGGGCUGACGGUACCCCCAGAGGAAGCCACGGCUAACUACGUGCCAGCAGCCGCGGUAAUACGUAGGUGGCGAGCGUUGUCCGGAAUCAUUGGGCGUAAAGCGCGCGUAGGCGGCUUGUCAGGUCUGAUGUGAAACCUUGGGGCUUAACCCCAAGCGUGCAUCGGAAACCGGCUGGCUAGAGUCUGGGAGAGGAGAGUGGAAUUCCUGGUGUAGCGGUGAAAUGCGUAGAUAUCAGGAGGAACACCAGUAGCGAAGGCGGCUCUCUGGAACAGUACUGACGCUGAGGCGCGAAAGCUAGGGGAGCAAACAGGAUUAGAUACCCUGGUAGUCCUAGCCGUAAACGAUGGACACUAGGUGUCGGGAGUGUCGACUCUCCCGGUGCCGAAGCUAACGCAUUAAGUGUCCCG
rnacentral:rRNA from 1 species